CUCAGGGCAGAAGAGGAGACCGAGGUUUCUGUGCAAUUAUUUAUUUGGAAAUGGAGCCCAUUCCCUUCCUGGAGCAGGAGCUCAGGAAGUGGAGGGAAGGACGUGAAACAGGAAAAGAGGAAAAGCCCAUUUGAGGAUUUAUGACUGGAUUUGCUGCCAAAGUUGCAACUACAGUUUUUUAGGAUAACUGUAAGGCUGCACUGGGGAGAUGAAAGAGGAAGCUAUUUCUCCAUCUCCUUCCGUCCUCUAUGGGUGAAGGAUGGCUCCUUCUCUCUUCUGAUCCUGAGUGCUGGAAAGCUCAAGAAAUUCUUCUGAGAAUUGAGUGAGUUCAGCCAGCCUGGAUUCCCUGGAAUUCUGGUGAAGCCUGACUGGGCCAUUUCCCAUUGCUCCUUACUGCCUGAGCUCCACCUCCUGUCAGAUAAGCGGCGGCAUUUGAUUCUCAUAGCUGUGUGAACCCGAUAGCGAACUGUGCAUGCGAGGGAUCAAGGCUGCGUGCUCCUUAUGAGAAUCUAAUGCCUGAUGAUCUGUCACUGUGUCCCAUCACCUCCAGGUACAACCAUCUAGUUGCAGGAAAACAAGCUCCGGGCUCCCACUGAUCCUACGUGAUGACAUACCAUCCACUGACAAGGUGCCAAAGCCACAAGAUAAUUUAAGACUCAUAUGAGGAGGAAGGUAGGGGGCAUCCAGAGGUGAAAAUACCCCCAG
rnacentral:lncRNA from 10 species